ACGCAAUAAGCACUCCGCCUGGGGAGUACGGUCGCAAGACUAAAACUCAAAGGAAUUGNCGGGGGCCCGCACAAGCAGCGGAGCAUGUGGUUUAAUUCGAAGCAACGCGAAGAACCUUACCAGGGCUUGGCAUCGUCUGAAUAUCUUAGAGAUAAGAGAAACCCUUCGGGGCAGAUAGACAGGUGGUGCAUGGUUGUCGUCAGCUCGUGUCGUGAGAUGUUGGGUUAAGUCCCGCAACGAGCGCAACCCUUGUCAUUAGUUGCUAACAGUAAGAUGAGCACUCUAAUGAGACUGCCGGGGACAACUCGGAGGAAGGUGGGGAUGACGUCAAAUCAUCAUGCCCCUUAUGUCCUGGGCUACACACGUGCUACAAUGGCUAGAACAAUGAGAUGCNGAGANGGUGACAUGGAGCAAAUCUAUAAAACUAGUCCCA
rnacentral:rRNA from 1 species